UUUCCGUAGGUGAACCUGCGGAAGGAUCAUUAAAACGAAACCCACGUUUCAAACCAAUCCGUUCUCCCGCAACCUCCAAGAUGACAAUGGGGUCAAACCUCUCUACUUGGCUAUUCGUUGCCUUUUGGCGCCCCUCUUGUCUUUUUUUUCAUCUAAUUUAAACUCCUUGUAUCAUCAUUUGACUGAAACUUGACAGUUUCAGAUCCUUCGCGACACUCACCGACGAAACUAAGAAACAUUGCACAACUCUUAACAACGGAUAUCUUGUCUCUCGCAUUG
rnacentral:misc_RNA from 1 species